rnacentral:rRNA from 1 species
CUACGCACUCCUACGGGAGGCAGCAGUGGGGAAUAUUGCACAAUGGGCGCAAGCCUGAUGCAGCCAUGCCGCGUGUAUGAAGAAGGCCGUUCGGGUUGUAAAGUACUUUCAGCAGUGAGGAAGGUGGGUAUGUUAAUAGCAUAUUCAUUUGACGUUAGCUGCAGAAGAAGCACCGGCUAACUCCGUGCCAGCAGCCGCGGUAAUACGGAGGGUGCGAGCGUUAAUCGGAAUUACUGGGCGUAAAGCGCAUGCAGGUGGUUUGUUAAGUCAGAUGUGAAAGCCCGGGGCUCAACCUCGGAAUUGCAUUUGAAACUGGACAAACUAGAGUACUGUAGAGGGGGUAGAAUUUCAGGUGUAGCGGUGAAAUGCGUAGAGAUCUGAAGGAAUACCGGUGGCGAAGGCGGCCCCCUGGACAGAUACUGACACUCAGAUGCGAAAGCGUGGGGAGCAAACAGGAUUAGAUACCCUGGUAG